rnacentral:misc_RNA from 1 species
GCAGCUGUUGCUGCACGCACUAGGUCAAGGUUCUUGCAAGCUUGGGCCUUGGAAAUACAGGGAAAGCAUUCUGAAGCUGUGGUGGAACUGUUCAAAAUAUGUGUCAUCCACCAGAUAUUUCCUCCUGAAGAGUUCUCGCCUGAGAUGGAGAUGGUGGCUCGUGGACUUGAGAAACACUUAAAAGUAGACCAAAGGGAGUCCCUGAUGAACAGUCUUCUACAAGUGUGUGGUGAUGAGACCAGGAGAAGUGUGGCUGAAGCUUUGGGUCUGAUGUACAUGAAGAGUAACAUUGCUCAUCAACAAGAAAACAAGUAUACAUAGAUCACUAAUUUAUGCGUACAGGAAUUGAUUUUUAAAGAUGAAUAAUGUUUUAUGCUCAAAAAGACAUUGGUGUACAAGUAGUACUGCCUGUAUGCAAUAACCUUACGAAAUGC